UUAGCGGAUGACUUGUGGCUGGGGGUGAAAGGCCAAUCAAACCGGGAGAUAGCUGGUUCUCCCCGAAAGCUAUUUAGGUAGCGCCUCGUGAACUCAUCUUCGGGGGUAGAGCACUGUUUCGGCUAGGGGGUCAUCCCGACUUACCAACCCGAUGCAAACUACGAAUACCGAAGAAUGUUAUCACGGGAGACACACGGCGGGUGCUAACGUCCGUCGUGAAGAGGGAAACAACCCAGACCGCCAGCUAAGGUCCCAAAGUCAUGGUUAAGUGGGAAACGAUGUGGGAAGGCACAGACAGCCAGGAUGUUGGCUUAGAAGCAGCCAUCAUUUAAAGAAAGCGUAAUAGCUCACUGGUCGAGUCGGCCUGCGCGGAAGAUGUAACGGGGCUAAGGAGCGUUCUGUAAGCCUGCGAAGGUGUGCUGUGAGGCAUGCUGGAGGUAUCAGAAGUGCGAAUGCUGACAUAAGUAACGAUAAAGCGGGUGAAAAGCCCGCUCGCCGGAAGACCAAGGGUUCCUGUCCAACGUUAAUCGGGGCAGGGUGAGUCGACCCCUAAGGCGAGGCCGAAAGGCGUAGUCGAUGGGAAACAGGUUAAUAUUCCUGUACUUGGUGUUACUGCGAAGGGGGGACGGAGAAGGCUAUGUUAGCCGGGCGACGGUUGUCCCGGUUUAAGCAUGUAGGCUGGUUGUCCAGGCAAAUCCGGAUAAUCAAGGCUGAGGUGUGAUGACGAGGUACUACGGUGCUGAAGUAACAAAUGCCCUGCUUCCAGGAAAAGCCUCUAAGCAUCAGGUAACAUCAAAUCGUACCCCAAACCGACACAGGUGGUCAGGUAGAGAAUACCAAGGCGCUUGAGAGAACUCGGGUGAAGGAACUAGGCAAAAUGGUGCCGUAACUUCGGGAGAAGGCACGCUGGUGUGUAGGUGAAGUCCCUGCGGAUGGAGCUGAGACCAGUCGAAGAUACCAGCUGGCUGCAACUGUUUAUUAAAAACACAGCACUGUGCAAACACGAAAGUGGACGUAUACGGUGUGACGCCUGCCCGGUGCCGGAAGGUUANNNNNNNNNNNNNNNNNNNNNNNNNNNNNNNNNNNNNNNNNNAGAUGCAGUGUACCCGCGGCAAGACGGAAAGACCCCGUGAACCUUUACUAUAGCUUGACACUGAACAUUGAGCCUUGAUGUGUAGGAUAGGUGGGAGGCUUUGAAGCGUGGACGCCAGUCUGCGUGGAGCCAACCUUGAAAUACCACCCUUUAAUGUUUGAUGUUCUAACGUUGGCCCCUGACCGGGGUUGCGGACAGUGUCUGGUGGGUAGUUUGACUGGGGCGGUCUCCUCCCAAAGCGUAACGGAGGAGCACGAAGGUUAGCUAAUCCUGGUCGGACAUCAGGAGGUUAGUGCAAUGGCAUAAGCUAGCUUGACUGCGAGCGUGACGGCGCGAGCAGGUGCGAAAGCAGGUCAUAGUGAUCCGGUGGUUCUGAAUGGAAGGGCCAUCGCUCAACGGAUAAAAGGUACUCCGGGGAUAACAGGCUGAUACCGCCCAAGAGUUCAUAUCGACGGUGGUACGCGAGCUGGGUUUAGAACGUCGUGAGACAGUUCGGUCCCUAUCUGCCGUGGGCGCUGGAGAAUUGAGGGGGGCUGCUCCUAGUACGAGAGGACCGGAGUGGACGCAUCACUGGUGUUCGGGUUGUCAUGCCAAUGGCACUGCCCGGUAGCUAAAUGCGGAAGAGAUAAGUGCUGAAAGCAUCUAAGCACGAAACUUGCCCCGAGAUGAGUUCUCCCUGAGACUUUAAGUCUCCUGAAGGAACGUUGAAGACGACGACGUUGAUAGGCCGGGUGUGUAAGCGCAGCGAUGCGUUGAGCUAACCGGUACUAAUGAACCGUGAGGCUUAACCUU
rnacentral:rRNA from 1 species